GUCCUAAGGUAGCAAAUUUCCUUGUCGUCUUAAUAACGACCUGCAUGAAACAUAGAACGAUUUGAUAGCUGUCUUGCACACACAUCAUGGUAAAAUAUUCAUCAGUACAAAUAAUAUGCUGCUGACACUAAAGGACAAAAAGACCCUUUGAAGCUUUAUAGGGAUAAAACUCAUGGUUAAAUCCAUCUUGUUGCUUCUCCGCUUUUUAAUUUGCUAAAGCCUUAAAAGAUUUACAACAUCAAGACCACUGUUUAAUUGGGGCGAUAACCUUAUCCACAGCCACCUAAGGUGAACAAAGCGAUACAAGGAUCCUAAAUACUAAUUUGACCAACUAAUAAGUGCAAAGAUACAUGUUUUGCUUAAUGGCCCAACAAGUCCUUCCCAGUACUUAAAUGCUAUCUUAAUGAGCUUUAAAUUAAUUUACCAGAGUGAAGCUACUCUACGGAUAACAGGCUUAAUUUCCGCAAUAUCCAAGGUCACAUUAUCAAGAAUAAAGCACCUCGAUGUCGGCUUAUCUCAACCAAGGUAAGUAGCCCAAAUAUUGGUGGGAGUGCUCAUCCCGUAAAAAGGUACGUGA
rnacentral:rRNA from 1 species